rnacentral:misc_RNA from 1 species
GGACAAAGCAGUUGAACUGAAGGUUGAUGGGGAUGUACAAUUCUAUAAAAAUGUGAUGUACAGGUCUGUAUCAAUCUCUUUACAAUCAGGAUCCUUGCGAUAGUAAUUAAUCUUGUUCAGAAUUUCAAUUAUAAUGUUAUUUGGAAUUCAAAGAUAACUAUGGAAAUAUCCAAAUUAUACUGCAUACUCUUGCCCUCUACUCUUCAAUGUAUAUCUACACUUUUGUGCAUGUGUUUAGGUGUGUAUGUGUUGUAUUUGAAUUCUUUUUUAAUGAACAAUGAGAAGCCAUGGGAAAGAUGUUGUGUGGAGUGUAUAUUCAGCACGUGGAAGCAGGUAAUGCUGAUUUACGUUGUUGAUUGAUUUCACCUUUCUUUUCGUAUUCCCGUAUACAUCCACUGGAGCGUAUGUAGUGUUUUGUGGGGCUUUUGAAUUGACAAUAGCGUUUUCUCAUUGUUCUAUGUUUAAAUCAAUCAUAUCUUUGUUAUUUAUUUUCUACAUUAACUGUACCCUUCUUUAUCAUGGAUCCAAAUUUUGAUAGUCCUGUGGAAAUUUGCUUGCAUCCUCAGUCUUAGCCCAAGAGCUAAUUCUGUUUCUGUGGUUGGUGGUCAAUAGGUCAUGGUCAUCAGUGUGACAAGUAUCAAAUGAUUUGGUUUGCUUCCAGAUGUGUCUAAAACUUAAGGGGUAGUAAAAUCUGUAUGACUGCACAACCAUAGAAAAGGACAUCUUGUGAAACUAAUUAUACACCUUUAUGGUGUUCCUGAGUCCUGACUGUGGCAGUAUAUUCCUGCAUCACCUGUAAUACUUGGCAUCUACUUGAUAUGAGAAUUCAUUUGGUCAAGUAAUUGUGUACAAUGUGUCUGAGAAUUCUCAUGGUAAUACUAGUGUCUAAGAUUUGUAUCCUCACUUUUCACCUUUUUCCGUUUGUAGGGACUUGAUGAGUCUUUUGGGAGGUGCCACUGUCGGAGUGCAUUCCAUGACAGACGAACACU